UACGAAGGGGCUAGCGUUGCUCGGAAUCACUGGGCGUAAAGCGCACGUAGGCGGAUCUUUAAGUCAGGGUGAAAUCCUGGAGCUCAACUCCAGAACUGCCUUUGAUACUGGGAUCUCGAGUCCGGGAGAGGUGAGUGGAACUCCGAGUGUAGAGGUGAAAUUCGUAGAUAUUCGGAAGAACACCAGUGGCGAAGGCGGCUCACUGGCCGGUACUGACGCUGAGGUGCGAAAGCGUGGGAGCAACAGG
rnacentral:rRNA from 1 species